GAGCAUUUUACUUGUGUUAACUCUGAUAAGCUUGAGUAGUCGUAUCUCAGCUAAGCAAAGCGAGCAACUGAACGCGGUGGUUUAAUCAGUUGUGUUUGGAGCACGAAAGUUGGUGGAGUUUUGAAAUAGCGCCGGUGGUUUUUAUUUACUUUUAUAGAGACUUUGAGCCUAUUGGCCUCAUUUGCCUCUUUCGAUCUAUCGAGGUGUCGAACAACUUUGAAAGUCCAGUCGUUGUUCGAUGAUGAUCGCGGGAAUGUACGAUUGCGACGGUCGCUGUUUGCUGUGCGGUUAGCGAAUAUAAAUAAACGUAUUAGGCGAGAUCAUUUUUGGGACAUUAUUAUUCAGGUAUAGUGAGGUAUACAUAAUUCCUAUCUAAGUUAAACAUGGUGUGCAACUGAAAAAUGAUUGUGAUUCCAGUACAAACCAUGGAGGAGAUGCCAAGAGAGCUUGAACUAUUAAAUGUAGUAAAUAGUAGCGUCAGAUGUAGUAAACAGGUGAUCGAGCACAGACGACUAACCAACGCAUCGAUCAACGACGCCUACGACCUGUUUGAGUUUGUAUGAGCAUUUGUCAUAAAUCAUGGUACCUGGUUGGUUUACAAGUACAC